rnacentral:rRNA from 1 species
AUUGCCCUCUUUCUUCCGGCCUCCCCCCUGCACGUCGAGCGGAUGAAGGGAGCUUGCUCCUGGAUUCAGCGGCGGACGGGUGAGUAAUGCCUAGGAAUCUGCCUGGUAGUGGGGGAUAACGUCCGGAAACGGGCGCUAAUACCGCAUACGUCCUGAGGGAGAAAGUGGGGGAUCUUCGGACCUCACGCUAUCAGAUGAGCCUAGGUCGGAUUAGCUAGUUGGUGGGGUAAAGGCCUACCAAGGCGACGAUCCGUAACUGGUCUGAGAGGAUGAUCAGUCACACUGGAACUGAGACACGGUCCAGACUCCUACGGGAGGCAGCAGUGGGGAAUAUUGGACAAUGGGCGAAAGCCUGAUCCAGCCAUGCCGCGUGUGUGAAGAAGGUCUUCGGAUUGUAAAGCACUUUAAGUUGGGAGGAAGGGCAGUAAGUUAAUACCUUGCUGUUUUGACGUUACCAACAGAAUAAGCACCGGCUAACUUCGUG